GAUGAAGAACGCAGCGAAAUGCGAUAAGUAAUGUGAAUUGCAGAAUUCAGUGAAUCAUCGAAUCUUUGAACGCACCUUGCGCUCCUUGGUAUUCCGAGGAGCAUGCCUGUUUGAGUGUCAUUAAUAUAUCAACCUUCUCUUUUUUGGGUUGUUUGGAUGUGGGGGUUUGCUGGCCUCUUAAAUGAUUCAGCUCCCCUGAAAUGCAUUAGCAGAACAACCUGUUCAUUGGCGUGAUAAUUAUCUAUGCUAUUGAAUGUGAGGGCAGUUCAGCUUUCUAACCGUCCUUGGACAAUUCAUCAUUAAUGUGACCUCAAAUCAGGUAGGACUACCCGCUGAACUUAAGCAUAUCAAUAAGCGGAGGA
rnacentral:misc_RNA from 1 species